rnacentral:rRNA from 1 species
ACUUGCUCAUGUAGAUAUUGGCAGCUGUCAGGUUUACCCUUCUGCCAUGCCAUUAGUGUUAUCUAUAAAACAGGACAGAAAAUUGAUGAUUAUAUUGCUCCUUGCUACUCCAUAGAAGUGUACAACAAGAUAUAUGAUCAUUGCUUACAACCUUUGGAGGGAGAGGAGAGUUGGCCUAUUUCAACAAAUCCAAAGCCACAACCACCUAGUCACAUUAGCUUGCCUGGAAGGCCUAAAACAGAAAGAAGGAGAGAGGAAGGAGAAAAACCUAAGGGUACUAAGAUGAGCAAAGUAGGUGGCAAGAUCACUUGUAGUUCUUGCAAAAGGCAAGGACAUAAUAGAUCAAGCUGUAAGAACAAUGAUGCAGCUAAACAUCAUGGAAAUGCUCAUUUGGUCAGAGAAGCUGCAAAACAAAAGAAGAAAGACAAAGAGGCUUUUGAUGCUCUUCAGACUCAGAAAGCUAUGCUUGAAAAGCAGGUUAAGAUGACACUUGUUAGUACUAAUGAAAAAUUGGUUGCUUUUUGUUUCUACUAA